rnacentral:rRNA from 1 species
CCCUUAGACGUUCUGGGCCGCACGCGCGCUACACUGACGAAGGCAACGAGCUUUCCUUUACCGAAAGGUACGGGUAAUCUUUUGAAACUUCGUCGUGCUGGGGAUAGAUCCUUGCAAUUUUUGAUCUUAAACGAGGAAUGCCUAGUAAGCGCAAGUCAUCAACUUGCGUUGAUUACGUCCCUGCCCUUUGUACACACCGCCCGUCGCACCUACCGAUUGAAUGACUCGGUGAAAAAUUGGGACCGUGAGUCUGUUUGCUUCAUUGCGAGUGGAUUGAUGGGAACUUUUUUAAACCUCGCCAUUUAGAGGAAGGUGAAGUCGUAACA